rnacentral:rRNA from 1 species
AUGCCGAUCACUGUUUUGGAUGCGUGUGAUGGAUGCGGUGGCGAAGACAGUGGCGCCGGUGAUGGGGGCGGCGGAAGAGGCGAUGGUGGUGUCGUUGGCGUGCCAGGUGAAGGUGGGGUCGUAGUUGGUGGUGCCGGGUUCACCGGAGAUGGUGUUGGCGGUGUCGGAUUGGUUGGAGACUUUGGUGGUGCCGGGUUAACUGGACCGGACGGCGAUGGCAUUGGUGGUGCCGGCGCCACGGUAGAUGGCGGUGACACUGUUGGUGGUGCAGGGUUCACCGGAGCAGGAGGGGACGACGCUGGUGGCGCUGGGUUCACUGGUGAUGUCGGAGGCGAUGUUGGUGGCGUUGGCUGUGCUGGAGACGGCGUCGGUGGUGCAGGGUUCACUGGAAUAGGCAGAGCUGGAGACGGCGGAGACAACGUUGGUGGUGGCGGGUUCACCGGGGAAGACGGCGGUGGCGCUGAUGGUGUGGGCCCCGUUGGAGACGGUGGCGGUGGUACCGGGUUUACUGGAGAUGGCGAUGGUGGUGCCGGGUUUACUGGAGAAGGCGUCGAUGGCGUUGUUGGCGUUGGCAUUGCUGGUGAAGGCGGGGAUGGUGCUGGGUUCGUCGGAGAAGGUGGGGACGGAGCUGGCGUCACCGGAGGGGACGGUGAAGGCGUUGAUGGUGCAGGCGCAACCGGAGAAGGCGUAGAUGGCGUCGGUGGCACAGGCGCAGAUGGUGUUGGUGGGGCAGGUGUCGCUGGGGGCACCACCGGUGGAGGAGACGCCGCAGUUUCCAAAACAUGUGCAUGUCGUAUACGCUUUAGGUCCGAUGCACUGGUUGUUUGUUCCGAUACGUUAUAUGGAUCAGAUGAGUCAAUCUUGGUGGUUCUUCAUCUCGUUCUCACGGGCCUGGUGCUUAGGGCACCACUAGCGCUGAUCCGCUGCUGCAAGGCUGCCCUUGCAAUGCCGCUCCGGGAGAGGCGACCGGAGCUCCGCCACCUCGUCGAUCUGCCCCAACACUACCUGCCCGUCCAUGUGCUCGCGCUAGGCCUUUGCUGGUGGUGUGCUGCACUUGGCUCCCACGGUGAUGCCGGCAAUGGGCCGGCCUUGCGCACAUGCGGUGGCCGCCAGCGGCGCUAUAGUCCAUGGCUUGGUGGUGGCGAUCUA